rnacentral:rRNA from 1 species
UCUACGGAGAGUUUGAUCCUGGCUCAGGACGAACGCUGGCGGCGUGCUUAACACAUGCAAGUCGAACGGUGAAGCCCCUUCGGGGGCGGAUCAGUGGCGAACGGGUGAGUAACACGUGGGCAACCUGCCCCUAGCUCUGGGAUAACCCCGGGAAACCGGGGCUAAUACCGGAUAUGACCUCGGAGGACAUCCUCUGCGGUGGAAAGUUUUUCGGCUAGGGAUGGGCCCGCGGCCUAUCAGCUUGUUGGUGAGGUAACGGCCCACCAAGGCGACGACGGGUAGCCGGCCUGAGAGGGCGACCGGCCACACUGGGACUGAGACACG